GUGACGCUGGUACCCCAGGGCUUGGACCUGACGCAGGGAGAUAGAGCGGGAGAUACAGAGGAAAAUGAAAGAACAAGAAUGGCCUUGUCAGCUCCUUGGUUCCUACCAGAGAGACACGGCAUCCUUCCCCUACUGCCUUGGGCACAAGGCUCUGGAGUGAAGAGGAAGGAGGCAGGAGGGAGUCAGGGGCACUCACCUCUUACAGCCUGGAAGAUCAUUAGCAAUAGCAGGUGGCAGUUGUGGCGCUGGCACCAAGUCCUCCGGACCCAACUGAGACAGGACUCAUGGCAUCAAGAACUUACAUCACGGCAGUCAUUGUCUCCAUCUUCUUCAUGGUUAUCCUGUCCUGCUCAAGUGCUCCAGGUAAGGAAGGGAAGGCAAAGCAGGGAGGAAGGUUGUGGAGGAGAGGGAAAGAGCCAUGGGGGAAAGAUGGAGGAGCAGGCAUUGGGCCACUUCUGGGGGCCUUUCUUCUUGAGCCUGUGGAGCUAACAGUCUAUCAUUCACACAGUGACCCCCACAGAUUCCCAAGUGAUCGUGUGCCAGCCCUGGCUCCUAUGUGGGACUGUGGCCUACAACCCCCAGGAGAAUCAAUGCUGUGAGGAUGGCAGUGUCCAGCCCUUCCGCCUGAGCUGUGGUCCUACAUUCACCUAUGACCCCUGCUUUCAGCAUUGCUGCCCCGACUCUUACCGGGGAAAGUACAUUGUGGUUAAUAAGACAAGGGGAGGGACCGAGAGAAGCGAUUGUGAAAUGGCACGCUCCCAUUAGGAGCUGACAUCUGGUAAGGAUCCCCUUUCUCACCCCUUGAGUCUCUUGUCUGCUCUCCCAGAACACUAAGGAGCCUGGGAGGAUCGCGAGGGGGACAUAUCUGUGCUCUGUCCCUUGGGGUCAUACUUGGCUAUGUAGAGUAUCAAGCUGGCAGAGAAUCCUGAAACCUGGGUUCGAGACUCAAUUCUUCCACUGACUCCCUGUGGGAUCCUGGGCAAGGUUUUCCCUUCAUGGGACCUCAGGUUCUUCAUUGGUAAAAAAAAAAACCCAGUGAUCUCUAAGGAGCUUCCCACCUUUGACAUUCCAUGUUCCAGGUUCUGAGAUUUCUUUUUAUUCUGUGUUCAAUGAUGCUAUUUUCUCUCUCCAGGUGAAAGUUGGCCAGAAGACCCCUGUCUCCAGAGGCAGUUUCCAGAUCUCAAAAGACCCAAAGCCUGGGGUUUCUUCAGCGG
rnacentral:lncRNA from 1 species